rnacentral:tRNA from 17 species
GCGGAUGUAGCCAAGUGGAUUAAGGCAGUGGAUUGUGAA